UGAGUAAAUAGCUUAAAUUUAAAGUUUAUUAUUUACAUUAAUGAGAUAUUUUAGAAUUUUACUU
rnacentral:tRNA from 1 species